AUGUAGGAAUAAAGAAAUAUAAGCUGUACACACUGCAACUGUUUUUGAGAUAUGAAUCAUCUUGGGGUCUAAAGUAACUGUUUUUUUUUUUUUAAACUACUAUCUCUGCUACAGGCCUUACAGUUAAACCACAUAACAGAGAGUUCAGACGAGUCUCUAUCCUGUGGUGCACAAAAAACAAAACAAAAACAAACCAGAGACAACAAUGACACAAUAAAAGGAGCAAUACGCUCAGGAAUACAGGAUGGGGUGGAUGUAAAGUGGCUUGUUAUUUCUCUCUUUUAUUAUCUGUGCAUUCUUUUGAUUGUGCAUUAACGUGAUUUGUUUGUCCAGAACCCGACUGG